UACGAAGGGGGCUAGCGUUGCUCGGAAUCACUGGGCGUUAAGGGUGCGUAGGCGGGUCUUUAAGUCAGGGGUGAAAUCCUGGAGCUCAACUCCAGAACUGCCUUUGAUACUGAAGAUCUUGAGUUCGGGAGAGGUGAGUGGAACUGCGAGUGUAGAGGUGAAAUUCGUAGAUAUUCGCAAGAACACCAGUGGCGAAGGCGGCUCACUGGCCCGAUACUGACGCUGAGGCACGAAAGCGUGGGGAGCAAACAGG
rnacentral:rRNA from 1 species